rnacentral:lncRNA from 1 species
ACUGGAAUCACAACAAAAGUCAUAUGGAAUUCGAAGUUGGAUACUACAGCCCCAUAUUGUCUUGGAAUUUUUUGUAUAGAAAUGCUAGUUUCUUGCUUCUAACAUUAUAAUGUACGCUUUCCUUUUAUAAGAAUCUGUAUGAUUAUACAAAUAUUUUUCUGGACUCUUCCAACUAACAUGUAUAAAUGCUAAUAAAUGUAAAUUGGCUUGUUACA